rnacentral:lncRNA from 1 species
GUGGGUCAAUGUGUUAGAUGGAUUAGAUCCAUAAUUGGGUUAGACCUAAGGUUAGCUUAAAGAAAUGGACUAAAUUAGAGUAAUUGGUCAAAUCUAAUCAAAAGUUGAAUUAAAUUAGAUCAAGGACACUCGAGACUCAACUCCAAUAGUUGUAGUUGAAUGGGUCCAUAUCUUUAACUAGACCAAGAUGGACUUAAUUCAUGGCUACGCGGUGGAACUCUAUUUACUAAGUUGAUCAAAUUAAAACUAAUGAACCGGUUGGUGUCUAAGGUAAGUUCGGCAGUUUGACCAGUGGUUCUUAAGUGGGAGCUACUCGCAUUGAUUCGAUCUCUGACGAGUUAAUGGCUUAUCCCGACCACUGAUCUCACUUACCGGCCAACCUAGUGAAUUAGGUUUUGAUUAGAUCACUUGGUGAUUAGGGCUCACCCAUGUCAUUAGGUAAAUCAGUGUGACUGAUUUAGGUGCUCCUAAUGCCGGCUUUAAUUAAAUCUUUUUUAAUCUGACUUGGUGAAGUCAGUGGG